CACAGAGUUAGCCGGUGCUUUUUCUGUGGGUUAGGUCAAAAUGCAGAGGUAUUAACCCUGCACAUUUCAUCCCCACUAAAAGUGCUUUACAACCCGCAGGCCUUCUUCACACACGCGGCGUCGCUGGAUCAGGGUUUCCCCCAUUGUCCAAUAUUCCCCACUGCUGCCUCCCGUAGGAGUCUGGGCCGUGUCUCAGUCCCAGUGUGGCUGGUCGUCCUCUCAGACCAGCUACGGAUCGUCGCCUUGGUAGGCCGUUACCCUACCAACUAGCUAAUCCGACUUCGGCUCAUCUUUUGGCGCAAGGUCUUGCGAUCCCCUGCUUUCUCCCGUAGGACGUAUGCGGUAUUAGCUAACCUUUCGGCUAGUUAUUCCCCACCAUAAGGUAGAUUCCGAAGCAUUACUCACCCGUUCGCCGCUCGUCAGCAUGUAUUGCUACACCUGUUACCGCUCGACUUGCAUGUGUUAGGCACGCCGCCAGCGUUCAAUCUGAGCCAGGAUCAAACUCU
rnacentral:rRNA from 1 species